rnacentral:rRNA from 1 species
ACACGUAGGAGGCAAGCGUUAUCCGGAUUUACUGGGCGUAAAGCGCGUGCAGGCGGUCUGGUAAGUUGGAUGUGAAAGCUCCCGGCUCAACUGGGAGAGGUCGUUCAAAACUGCCGGACUAGAGGACGGUAGAGGGAGGUGGAAUUCCCGGUGUAGUGGUGAAAUGCGUAGAUAUCGGGAGGAACACCAGUGGCGAAGGCGGCCUCCUGGGCCGUUCCUGACGCUAAGACGCGAAAGCGUGUGGAGCGAACGGGAUUAGAAACCCUAGUAGUCC